GGAAGGGUGGCCGAGUUGGUUAUGGCGCCAGGUUAAGGUCAGCUCAACAUCUGUUUCCUGGUGGGGCAACCCGCGCGAGUUCGAGUCUCGUCCCUUUCA
rnacentral:tRNA from 1 species